UCUCGGAGCCUCUGGGGAGCAACAAGAAUUUCCAAGGUGGUGUAAGAGCCCGUCUGAAGCCCCUCAUUUUCCGUUCUGCCUUCCGAUUGCCACGAGAAAGAAUCCCUUCCUCCACUGCAGUUCCGGCUUAGAACAGGACACAGUGCAGAAGAACUCCGAGGGACAUGAAGACCACCUAAUCCAUGAUAAAACUGGCUUGGACAACCUGGCUGCGACAGUGGAACCCUCCUAAAAAACGGGUGCCAAGAGACAUAACUGGUGUUGUGGGAACAGAAUUGGGAAUCAAUUCAGAGCUCCAGUUACCUUACAUGAACUUUUAGAAUCCAAUCUCAUGUUGAUUCACAAGCUACUGCCUACUCCCAUUGGGAUGAACCUUACUUUGGUAAAGCAACUAUUACUUCAUCAAGAUCUAAUAGAGAUCCUAGGAAAAAUCAAGGAGAAUGGACAGAAAACUCUGGUAACUGUUCAUCAUGAUGUGCAAGAAAUACAUCGUGUUGUAGAAAGGGUGGAAAGUGAUGCCGAGCACAAGUGGUGGGAUACCCUUUCCGGGUGGUCAC